rnacentral:lncRNA from 10 species
CCAACAUUUGGUGUUUUCAGACCUUUCAUUCUAUUCAUUCAGGGUGCAGCUCUUCUGAGCUUUUUCCAGUCCUGAAAGACCAUGGGAAGUCUAUCUAUGCUCUUCAGAUGCCCUUCCCAGGUAACACUAGAAGAUCAUCUAUUGUAUAAUAGGAAAACCAAUGUUUAAUUCACAUGGCUCUUAUGGAGAUUCCAUAAAAUGUAGUAUAUAAAGUACCUGCUUCAAAUCUUG